CGCUGGAACAGGCCCUAAGUGUAUUUCCUAUGGCAGGUCGCAGAUGAAAAUUGUUCAGGAGAGCCAGCGCCAUUCCGGAUCUGAAAAUGCUCUGCAUGUCAGCAUUGUCUGGAGAUUGCAAUAUCCUAAUCAAUCACUACCCUCUAAUGACCAACGGGUAUAUGCUCAGCACAUCAUCAUAUCACCGUUCCACACACCAUCACAUUACAAACAUCAUCACGCACCAAUUAGUAUGCGUUUCUGCUCUGAAAUGGGUACAUUUCAAUGCUGUUCACAACCAUUAAAUCACAUGUUCAAUCCACUCCUGUUCGUCUCCUCAGUCACCCGGAGACCUUGACCUACUCCUGGUCCUCUACGCCCGCCAGCGCCGCUUCGUCUGCGGUGCCGACCAGCGCCGCUUCGUCUGCGGCCCCCGCCAGCGCCACUUCGUCUGCGGCCCCCGCCAGCGCCGCUUCGUCUGCGGUGCCGACCAGC